UUUUUUUUUUUUUUUUUUUUUUCUUUUAGGUCUAUACCACAGCAGCUGGAAGUUCCUAGGCAGGGCUCAAAUUAGAGCUCCAGCUGCUGGCCUAUACCACAGCCACAGCAACACUGGAUCCUGACCCGUGGAGUGAGGUCAGGGAUCGAACCCACAUCCUCAUGGACACUAGUGAGAUUUGUUUCUGCUGUUCCACAAUGGGAACUUCUCAACAUAUCUUUUGGUGGACAUAAGUCAGUUUCAUAACAGAAGGUUUUGCCUAUUAAAAUGAAUUUAAAAAUGUGAAUUAGAAAGAAUAAAAUUAUUGAAAGCCAUACAAUCUUCUGAAAAAAUUAUCUACCAUAUAUAUCAUAUCCAACCUUUGUGCAUAUAUGUACCUUCACUGCCUUCAGAGAGAAGCAUAUUNUUUUUUUUUUUUUUUACUUUUUAAAAAAUUAAAGUACAAUUGAUUUACAAUGUUGCGCCAAUUUCUUCUAAACUGAAGCCUGAAGCCUAUUUCUUAACUAUGGGAAUGGAGGUCUAUGAUGGGGAAGUGGCAUGUGGCUGUGUGAAGAAAGCUGAAGAGGUGCAAUGCUUAAUUUUACAUAUGUGAAACAAUGGAAUCUUGCACGUUGGACUCCAUCUAUGCAAGAUGAGGGAGAAGAAAUGAAUAGAGAUCACUGACUGGGGACAAUGUGUGAGUCAUAAAGUUCAAGACACUCAUUAAAAAUAGAAGAUCUAGGAGUUCCCGUUGUGGCGCAGUGGUUAACAAAUCCGACUAGGAACCAUGAGGUUUGCGGUUCGGUCCCUGCCCUUGCUCAGUGGGUUAACGAUCCGGCGUUGCCGUGAGCUGUGGUGUAGGUUGCAGACGCGGCUCGGAUCCCGCGUUGCUGUGGCUCUGGCGUAGGCUGGUAGCUACAGCUCCGAUUGGACCCCUAGCCCGGGAACCUCCAUAUGCCGCGGGAGCGGCCCAAGAAAUAGCAACAACGACAAACGACAAAAAGACAGAAAAAAAAAAAAAAAAAAUAGAAGAUCUAUAAUGCAAGGAGUCAAGUUUCACUGUUGCUGUUGUUUCUAUCAUGUAACACUGUAUCCCCAUUCCAUCAGUGUAUCUCCAGUUCCUGGCACAUAAUCACUUCUCAAAUUUCUGUUGUUUGCAUGAAUGCAGGAAUUGAUGGAAGCUAGUGAUGGGUGGUAGAAAUAACAGAGGCUACUAAGUCAGAGAUGCUGGUUUCAAACUUUUACUCUACAAUGUAUUCAUUGUGGGACAACAGUUAUGUCACUUAUUCUGAGACAUUAUAUACUCACAAGUAAUAACACAUAAUUAUGAAGCCUCUUAUGAGCAUUAAAUUAAAUGCCAAGGAAUACAAAGUAUGCAGUAUUCUAACUGAAACUAUGGUAUUCAAUAAAGGUAACCCUCUUUUAUUUGGUCAGUGACUACUUCAGAGGUACUGCUGUGCAUACAGGAAAGCACACAGCUCUAGUACUGGGCAGAAAUACAUAAAGAAAAUGAUACAGAAUUCUUCAUCUCAGAAGAAUCUAACUAUAGCUAGCCAAGCAUGCAAAAGCUAAAGUACCUUAAAUGAUUAGAAUAAAAAUUGCAUCUUUCAGUAAUGACCAUAAAUAAUUGCUCUAGGAUUUCAAAGAAAUCAAAAAUAUGUAGGAAAAGUCAUCUGCUCAUUUUCCCAUCUCUGAUACAUAAUGAUUCUUUUACAACAAUACACACUUCUAAGUACCCAACUAAUCAAAUGGCUUGAGAUCAGAGAGUCCUUAUAAUUUUAAAUUAUUUUUUCUCAGAAAUUUAUAUGCUGGCCUGUCACCAUUAAAUCUUUAUUAGCUGCUGGACUCAGUGCUAUGUAAUAUGGUUUAUUUGAGGUUACUUGACAAGGGACAGAUAAUCUGCAAGGAGCCUAAAACAUUGAGAGCUGGUAGAGAUAUCAGGAACACCCAGGUAGCCAGGAAGGUCUCAACAAUGCAGCUUCAAAAAGGGCACAUGGAAGAGAAUAGAGCAGAGCCUGCCUUCAGGGAGAAAGGGAAUCAUAAGAAAUCUGCCCCGCGGAGGGUCCCCUGCUGGGAACUGAUUCAGAAUCAGAGACAACUAAGGGCCCUAAAAAGAAUAUCUGAUCUUUUACAUGCCCAUGUACCUCUACUUGGUUUUUCUCUCUUUCUCUUUUUUCCUUCUUGAAACUCAACUAUCACUGGCCCCUAUUGCCCUUUAAUCAGCGAUUCUUUCUCUAUUGCAUGUCUCAUUCUAAAUGUUUAUAAUUUCUGCUUUUUAAAAAUGUUUUAAUUAUAGUUGAUUUACAAUGUUUUGUCAAUUUCUGCUAUACAGCAAGGUGACCCAGUCAUUCACAUAUAUAUACACACAUAUAUAUAUGUAUAUAUUCUUUUUCUCACAUUAUCCUCCAUCACGUUCCAUCACAAGUGAUUGGAUCUAGUUCCCUGUGCUAUACAGCAGGACCUCGUUGCUUAUCCAUUCCAAAUGUGAUAGUUUGCAUCUAUUAAUCCCAAGCUCCCAGUCCAUCCCACUCCCUCCCCAUUCCCCUUGGCAACCACAAGUCUCUUCUCCAUCUCCAUGAUUUUGUUUAUUUUCUGUAAAUGGGUUCAUUCGUGUCAUAUAUUAGAUUCCUGAUAUAAGUGAUAUCACAUGGUAUUUGUCUUUCUCUUUCUACCUACUUCACUUAGUAUGAGAAUCCCUUGUUCCGUCCAUGUUGCUGCAAAUGGCAUUAUUGUGUUCUUUUUAUGGCUGAGUAGUAGUCCAUUGUGUAUAUGUACCACAUCUUCCUAAUCUGUUCAUCUGUCAAUGGACUUUGAGGUUGUUUAAUUUCUGCUUUCUCUUGACUCCAGGAGGAGUUAUGUUAGCUCCUAGAUUUUCCAGCAGGAUUUACUGAUGUCUUAUUUUCUUAGUUUAUUUCCAACUUCAAGUUCUGGAGAAGAGUUAAUAGAAGGGUCUGUAUGAAUAAAAUGAACAAUUGUUAAAAUCAGUGUUGAAGAAAGACAGAAUCUUGUACUUCUGUUUCCUUUUUGUACCCUUUCUUUCCUUCCUGUUUUCUUAUUGUUGCUUAUUUCUAAUGUAUAGAAAUGGAAGAUAUAUGUAAGGCAUUUGUUUCUGAGAGGGAUGAUUAUGUACCAUUAACAGCUGUACUAUUGAAAUCCUGUUAUUUAUUCUUUAUUAAGUGUUGUGGGAUCUGUUAUAGAAACUGAUAUGCAUAGUGAUGAUACUUAGUUACCACCCUGGAUAAAAUAUGUGCUGCAGAUGCCCUGAAUGAUGGGUUUAACAAUUAAAAUUAAUUUUAGCUCAAAAAAAAAAAAAAAAGCCACUGUAAUUGGCUUUUCUGCUCAAGUCCCUUGGCACUGUCCAGAGGAACUUUAGUGCUGCACAAAACCACAUUAUUGACAGAUGCUAGGACUGCUAGGAGCUUCAGUGAAAUGUUCGUUACUGAGCAAAAGAAAGUUGACAUAAAAAUAGUAUUUCAAGACCUGUCACUACUCACUUAGCCAAGUCAUCUGCCUUUUAUGGAUCCCAGUUCCUCAUUCUAUAAAAUGGCAAUAGCAUAUCUGAAACAACAAAUGAGACAAUAGAGGUGAAAGUUAUUGAAAAUCCUAAAUUCCUGUAUAUACAUUGGUUGUUUCUACUCUUAGGAUUUUACGAUAUAUGAAUCAUAAACCACGGAACUAAAGCAUUUUAAAACAUCAAGUCAGGGAGAUAAUGACUUUCUCUGUUUUAGAAGAAUAUAAAUUCUAAAUUUUUUCAUCUAUAAAAUUUUCUCUGCGCCCUUUAUCAUGUAUCACAUUUCUGGAUCACAUGCCAAUAAAGCACAGUAUCUUCACAGUUUAGUAUAAAUGAGUCUAUGUUCUGAUUGGGGAUGGAGAAACAAUCAAUCAAUAGUGAAAUCUGUAUUCCCUCAUACCCUUCUGCAAUCAGCUGUCACUUUCCUUGGGUUAGUGAGUAAAGGGCUUUUUGUAAAGCUGCCAAACCUUAGUCCCCCAUGCUGCAAUUUGAGCCUAUUUCCUUUUAUUUGAUCCAUCAUAGAAAAGAACAACAGCUGGACACGUCAAUUUGCAUAAUAACCUCUCCUGCUUGGAGACUGUUGGAAGGUCAGGUCUCCACUCUUGCUGACACAUCUCAGGCAGAACCAUUCCCUUUCUCUUUUGUUUUUCUCAAAGCAAUAAAAACUACCUUUUGACCAGAGCUAUAUUUCCUUUAAACAUCUGGGUGUCUGACUAUAUUUUUAAUUCUAAUUUUCUAAUUUGCUCACAUUUUCUUAGUAGGGCAACAUGCUUUUUAAAAAGCAAGCCAAAAAACUCCCACUCCUGAAUAAAUUACCUGGCUAGUAUUCUGGAGUGGUUUGGGUAUGCUUUGGCUCAGUUGCUGCUGACACUUUCCUAACACAUCAAAUUUAAGUGAGAUUAAAUCCAAAGAUGAAGAGAAAUUUGAGAAAUAAUUUUUUUCUAGUUAUACUGUGAGGAAUUUUGGCAUUUUAAUGAUAAACAAUGUACACAAACCUCUGAGUACAAUCUUUUCUUAUACAAAUAAGCCCAAUAGAAUCAAGGAAAGAAAUUUAUUUUCAUAUAACAAAAACAACAUCCAACACAGGAUAGAAUAUUUUAUCACCUCUCCAUGAGACGCCUCUAGGUUUGUGAAUUGUACUUGACUUACAGAGGGCUAAACUAGACAGAACACUCAGAUAUUACUUUGAAGAACUUUAUCAUAGAGUAUUAAACUUUACAAUUAAUAAAAUAGGAUUGUGAUUCAUUUCCAAUUAGUUAAAUACAUGAAAUUUUAACUUUGCAACAUUUCUAUGAGUGAUUUGAGGAGAUAUAAAAAUAUAUAUAUGAAACAUUUCUAUAAUUUUAAGGAAAAGAUAAAUUGAUAUAAGAUGCUGACUUAAGAAUUUAAAACAAACCCAAUUAAGCAAGCUUUCCCUUUGGCUCUGAUGAAGAAACUGGUACUGGACCAGUAUUAAAAACAAAAUGAAACAAUAAAACCAGGGAAAAUAUAUAAGGGAAAAGUUUUAAGACAACAGGCAGAGUAAGACUAUGAUCUAAUAACAAUGGGAAGCUUAUGAGAUGAAACCCAUAUUCUCUCUGCCUCUAUGCAUGGGGACACUUUCUUGGCUGCAUGCAGAUAGAAUGGUACAAGAAGAUGAUCUUGGAUCCAUUGAGUUGAGGAGAUCAGAGUCCAGGGCAGCUGAAGUGGCUGGAAUCUGAUGAGAUAGGCACUGGAGAACAACAGACUGAAUGAAAAAUGUGUGCAGAACCCAAGGAUCCCCACAAAUUCUUCACCAAGGGUAGAACUGCUUGUGUGAAGGGUGAGAUUACGCAAGUUUUGCCAGAAAUUGGCUGCUAGAGGGCAGAAAACAGAACAGAGAUACUAGAAAUUGAGCAGUGCUGGGAGUGGUGAAGUUCUGGUUUAAUCAGAGUGAAGGCAUCAUUUUAACACCCUGAGCAUCCAACUAAUGCAAUAGGAAAUAACAGCCCUGUAGGCAUAAUGACUAUGUCCUAGAGGAGCAGGUCUGUGUCUUAGACC
ensembl:lncRNA